rnacentral:tRNA from 1 species
GGUAUCGAGCCGGCGGAACGGGCAACUCUGAUGACGUUGAUUACGAGGUCUACUCCGAUACCU